rnacentral:rRNA from 1 species
UACGUAGGGGGCAAGCGUUGUCCGGAAUCAUUGGGCGUAAAGCGCGUGUAGGCGGUCCGAUAAGUUCGCUGUGAAAGUCGGGGGCUUAACCCUCGGAUGCCGGUGAAUACUGUCGGGCUUGAGUACGGAAGAGGCGAGUGGAAUUCCUGGUGUAGCGGUGAAAUGCGUAGAUAUCUGGAGGAACACCGGUGGCGAAGGCGGCAUUCUGGACCAUAACUGACACUGAGAGACGAAAGCCAGGGGAGCAAACGGU